rfam:Marinobacter aquaeolei VT8, complete genome.
UGAAGGGCGAGUGAUCGCCCGUGAUCGCGUUGCAGAAGUCAGCAGAGGGCAUAGUACUGCGGCCUACUCGGCGCGAUGUGAUAUUGCGAAGUGAAUAGCGGCAGGAAGGCC